UCUCUGGUAGUAUAUCGGUUAGUACACGCGCCUGUCAUGAGUAUACAUUGUGGGCUUGGAACUCCGCGCGAAAGCUGGGUUCGACUCCCAGCCAGAGAG
rnacentral:tRNA from 1 species